rnacentral:lncRNA from 1 species
GACCCAAACCAAUAAUUGAAACACCCCUAGAUCCCCUUUCCCCUUCCCGUUGAAACUCAACCAAACCAGCAUCGAUAAUAUUUCUCUCUCUCUCUACUACAAAUAUCACUUCUCCCUCAGACCAUCAGAUAACAAUGAUUCCAAUGGUCCUCAAACUUCCCCCUUUCCUUUUCCUCCCAAAUUCAUCAAUCUCACAAUCUCCAUCAACUUUAUAUCACUUUCAUCACCUUUCUUCCAAAAUUAGACCCUAAAAUUACUCAACCACUACUGCUGCAUCUGAUAAAGGUGAAAAGUAUGGGAGACCGCUAGAUUCAGGAUUGUUAUCCCCUUAAUUCUAUUGGUCUGAAAGUGAAUGUGUUCAAAUAGCCUUUUCCCCAUUCAUAUCAAUCUAAAAUUCAAGCUUUCUCUUCUUCCAACUUGGUCUCUUUGUUUCUCAAUGAGAUUUGACUUUCCAAGAAUUCUAAAUUUGAAUUCUUAGAUCCCCUAUCAAAGGUUGUUGCAACGCCUCUCAAGUGUGGCUAUAAAAGGGACCCUUUGGACCCCCAACUAAGGGAGAAGAAGGACCAAGUAAUAAGCAUCAGAAGAACCUAUUAAUAUUAGCUCAUGUUACUAUUUCCUCUUUAUUCUUUUACUCUCAGUCGAUUCCAAAACCCGAGUUUGAGUUUGAGUUGAAGAGGUUAUGAUCUCAUCGAAAUUUGACGUUGGAGCCCCUAGUUUGCUUCCCAAUAUUCGAUAAUACUCCUUUCUCAUUUACUCUUUAGAUUCUUCCCAUUUGGUUUGGAUUUAGUUGUUUCAUCCGAUUUAGUUUGGUACAAAUUGUGAAGUAGUUUCUAUUCAUUUGGUUACUGUGGAUGAUGUGCUCAUAAAGAGUUCAUGAUUUGAGAUAUAGCAUGAGUAAAUUAUAUCCCAUUUAUUUAUAUUAUAUUUAGCAUUUGUAAUUCAUUGAUUAUUUGAGUUUUUUGGCUAAUUUUGGAUAUGAGUAUGAAAUGGAAUCAAUGGUUGGUCAUUUGUUAACAUUAGACGAUGUAUUUGUGAAAUAUUUUAGUUCAUGAUUUAGCUUGAAACAAACUUUGUAAAGCUGUAAGUUUUUUGAUACAUGUUCAAUGAACUGAUUAGGGUCAAUUUGAAGUUGGUUUGGUUGUUUUUAAUAAGGUAAUGGUUACUUAAAUAUGUAUAUAUUUGGCUCUGCACUUACAAGAUGCCAGCAGCUCCAUUUUAUCAUGGAAAUUAUUUUUAAAAAGGUCAAAACUUUACAAAUGCUUGGAUGUCUAUAGAGGGAUUUGUGCCUUUUUUAUGUUAAACAUUUGAAUAUGGCAUCAAGUAGUAGUGUUACCUUAGGCUAGCUGCUCAUUCAAUGAAUUUUUUAACAUUUAACUUAGAGGGAAAGGUUUUGUAUAUUUUUUAAUGUUAUAGUAGGAAUCCAUCUUGUUUUUCAUUUGCUCGGACAUUGGCUUGAUCUUAUUCCAACUUAGCUCUUAAAUCGGUAGUAUGAUUUUCCUCCCUGGUAUGUUUAUGUUUUCUGGUUUUCUUUUACUUCUUUUCUUAAUUUGAGUUUAGUGCCUCAUUCUUCAUGUUUAUACUUGGGACAUUUGAGCGGGUCGUUGAAAUAAGCUUUAAAUAAGUUUAGCAUAAGAAAUUUUUCAUUUGUUUAUUUGGAAAUUGGUCUUCUCUAGAUGUGAUUCCUAAUAUGGUUUGAAAUUUUUUUUGUUUGUUAAGUGGUUAAGCUUGUGCCCAUUUUCUAAUAAUAGAAUUGCCGGCACGGGUCUAGUUUUGUCAAAACUGUCUUUUUUUCCUCACAUAUGCAUGUGCUUUUUCAUUUUGUUUAAUGUUUAAAAAGAAUCUAAUUUGUUUUCAAUGUGUAGUUACUAUAGACAUUUUCAAAAAUGUGCUCCUCUUUUGUUUUCUAUCUAAAUGUUGAUCAUGUCUUUUAAGCCAAAGUUUCUUAUUAAUCAGUUGUCCUAAACUUGCUUCCCUGUAAACAUAGACACUAAAAAGGGCUGUCAAGCAUGAUUAUACUUAUGAUUUUUGAAUUAAAAAUGGGCUUGAUUUGGUCACGUUGAAUUCUUCAUAAAACCUUUAGUUUGAGAUAUUAGGAGGAUUGUUUGCCUUUAGCUCCACCCAAAUUCUAUUUGUUCAUGUACCAGUUGGCUCACUUGAAUAUAGUUUAUCAGGUUUCAAGUUUGAGUUCGUUUCUUGUGGAAUCUUUGAGUUAUUUGCUUAUGGGUCUCCUAAGAAUAUGUUGGUCUUGCAUUCCCUUUGAUAGAUGUCCACCAUAUAGCUUGUCUAUUAAUUGUUCUGUUGCUUGGUUUUUUAAAUGUAUGUAGCUAACUAUUUCUUAGGGGCAAUUUGAUGUCAAUUUUGGAUGUUCUGAAUGUGGUAUUAGUGGACUAACUCACUCUUUGUUGGUUGUUGUGUUCACAAAAUGCAAACAGCCUUUAACUUAGAAAGGAGAAGGCUAAAAAAUGCUUAAAACACUACAAGCGUUCAGCUAUUCAUAAUGGAAUUCUUGUUCCAUCUUUUGCUUGAAUACUUGAAUAUGAAAUUACGUUUGUACUAUUUUAGGAUAGAGGUUUACUUAAAUAUGAUUUUUGACUUUUGACUUAGCAUAAAAAAUAGGUUAUGCAAGCCUCAAGUAUUGAAGAGUAUUUAAUUGUAUAUUGAAUUUCUCUAUUUUUUUAACUUGGGUAUUAAAAAUGAUUAGAGAAGCUUGACAACUUACUGUGAAGGUAGUUUUUAACUAGCUUGAAUAGCUUUUUCUCUGGCUAAACAUGUACCAUCUCAUAUUCAUUUAGUACAGAUUGUUAGCUUAAAUAAUGACACUUGUUCAGGCUCUAAAAUUAAGGUAAACAAGUUGGAAUUUUUUACUUCCGAAAGAUGAUAUUAUUUGCUUAAAGUUGUUUCAUUUGGAUAUUUACAAACACGAUCCUGAAGCAACAAUAGUUUUCUGGUAGUCUACAAUUAUCUAAACCUUAUUGCGUGCUUGCUAAUUAUUUUGCAUUCCUGUGAAUCAGUAUGAAAUACACUUUGUGAAGUUCAAUAUUUUUGGGUGUGGCUAGCUAUCCAUCUAUUUAGAUUUAAUGUCUGGUUGGCUAGCUAUUGUAAAAUUAUCGUAAUGUCGGUUAGGAUGUUUCCACAUGGUAUGGCUAUUUGAUCUGUUUCUUAUGUGUUUGUCUACGUGAUUACAAGACCUCACUAACUCUUGGUCUAGCAUGGAAAAGGCCAUACAUACUUUAACCUUCAAAAUAUGUUUAACUGUUAAGGUUUACUGUUUUAUUUGGUUUUAUAACAGGUACAUGGAUUUUGUUACUUUAAUCUUAGAUAUUAUUAAAUAAGUAUAAGACUUCCUGGGUAAGAUAGACCAUUCUAAUAAGUUAUUAUUUGGUUAAGUGUUGUGCCAACUUAAAUCACUCCAUAAGUAUUAACUAGCAUGUCCUCCCUUUAACUUCUCUAAUUUUGCUCGUGAUAGUCAUUUAUCCAUGAUUACUUAAAAGUGAUCAAAAAGUAAGAGUACGAAUUAGAUAAUGCAUCCCUGCUUGAAAUUUUAUUCGAUUUGAAGAUCUACUACCAUUCCUAUUAACAUUCUUAAGAGCUCAAGUGUAACUAUGCUUUUCAUUUGUGGUACUCACUUAGUUAAUGGUAUAUCAAUACAAGUGCAUAAACUGUUAGUACCCGCUAAACUCUAUUCAAACUUUGUAUACUCUAAGUAUAGGUGUGCGCAUAUGCUAUGUGUGCAGCUCUAUUUACAUUUCCAGACAACCAAAAGGAAUUCACGUGUAGAUUUAGUGCAUUUUUUCAACAUGUCUUAUUGGGGUUUAACUAAAAUUAGUUUUUUUUAGUAUAUUUUUCUUGUUUCACAUCCUUACAUUAUCCUUCCAUUGGAUCGCUACUAAUCCUUAUUCUUUUCCUAUUUCGCAUGUACACUCGGGAGUACGUAUGAAGUCUUAUGGCUUGACUCCAUCUUGUUCCAAAUCAGAUAAGCAAACAAAUAUUGCAUUACAUAUUUUCUUCUAUCAGUCAAGUGUCUCUUUUCCUCUCUUCAAGAUUUAUUCUUUUUUUAUAGACACUCACUAUUAUUUUUGCUUAACAUUUCACAUAUUAUUAUUUGAAAUUUUACAUUUUGUAUGUCUUAUUUGAAUUAAUGUGAAUCUUUAAAUGUGAUAGCAACUUAAUUACUCACUUCUCAUCUCUUGGGUUUUAAAUUUAGCAUAAUCACUAGACUUAGGUAUUCAAUUUAAUGUCCUUAAAAGUUUUAAAAUUUGGCAGGUUAAGGCAUGCCCUUUUAGAAUAAUUGGCUGAGUUGUGAGAAUCCUUUAAUGCUUCUUUAAUAUAGAAUAAUUGCUUUAUCUUUAGAAUCAAAGUUCAUUUUCACUAAUGAGUAGUAUCAGAUUAAAAAAAUAUAGGGUUUUGUGGUAGAUAGGCUUAUCAUCUCUAGACUCGAAAAUCAUCUUAAUUAUUUUAGAUAUGGUAAAUCAACUCCCUUUCCUCAUCAAAUUCAAAUAAAAGAUAGUGAUUCUUUCCAAUUUGAUUCUGAGGCAUUUUCUUACGAUUUCUGUAACGCCCCGGGAGUACACCCUGGACACCACACGGUGCUUACAGUCACAAGUGACCACAAGUUAACCUAUGAGUUGGUACCUAUUAUGAGCACUGAACAAAUUGAUAAUAAAGGAUAUACACAUGCGAAAGACGAAGUUGGAUACGCCAUAAGGUUUAAACAUUUAAAAUAUCUCUGAAAUAACAAGAAUAAAAACAAUACUAUAAAGACUGCCAAUAACAUCUGAUAACUGACUAACUGUUUGAAAGUGUCUGAAAGCCUCUAAUUGACUGACUGUGGAGUUUAUGAGACAAGUCUUCAACUAACUCCGACUGACUACUGGACUGAAAUACUAAAAUUACAUAAUCGAUCCUCAGAAUAUGAGGACUCACUACUGUUGCUGCUCCUGGUACGCUGGGAUAUCUAGGUGCGAUCGGGAACCUGAGUGUCCGAACCUAUCAUAUGAGACAUCAUAGCAUAAGAAACAGGUAUGCAGUCAGUACUUUGCAUAAACUGGUAUGAUAAAUGAGGUUAGGCUGAUAUGCAUGGCUCGUAUGCAUGAAUAAUAACUGACUGAAUGAAUGAUAUGAAAUAACUGACUUAUAAUAUGCGUGAAAGUUGUAAAAUCUGAGAAUGCAUAACAAAGCAUAUGACAUAAUAUUGGAAUGGUCUGUAAACUAAAAUACUGAGAUACUGAUACUGAACAACUAAUAACUGUAUGAUAUGGUCAAGCAAACCUGAAACUGAAUACUGGACUGAGACUGUGGGAGCUAUCAUCUAACCGACAUACCCCAAUUAAGAGUUAAUUGAGAUCCAACCUAUGACCCCAGUUGGAAGGGUGCUAGUAACAUGCCACGGGUACUAACACUGGUUGCAUGGAUCCAUUGAAAUAAAUUCCCAAAGGACUAAAGAUCACAGUCUACUGGCAGGUGCUCUGGUGAGAUAUGUGGCAAUCCUCAACUGGUAGGUUAACAUCUCUAACCUACACUUGCUACGUAAUUCUGGAAUGCAGGGAUUUUUACUAAAGGUCACACCCUCAACUGGAAGGUGAUCCCUCAUCCCUAGGUUCGCUCGGUGCUAAAUCCUAUUCCCAACUGAACUGAGUCAGUUUACUAAACUAAGCUAAACUUGACUGAUAGGAUAACUAACUGAACUGAUAAUACUCAUUUAUGCCUAAAAACUAUUCCAAAGUACCAAUACUAAGUAAACAGCUAAAUUUUGGGUAUUCAUAACCCCCAGGACUCGAUAACAUUAAGAGUAGGAGCAUAUUAAAGUUUACAAAUGCAUAAUAAGUAGUCAUUGCUCAAAAUUCAUCUCUUAGGCAUUUCAUCAAACACUUUAAAUUCAUGAACUUAGGCAUGGGAAUGGUUAAAACAUUUGGGAAUAACAAAAUCAUAACACUAAAACCAUACUUUGGGGAUUUGACAUAGAAUUUCAUGCUUCAAACGUGUAAGGGCUACUUUCCAACUAAAACAAUUGUAAUUAUCAUGCAUAAUUGAAAUUCCCAAAAAAAAACUUCAUGAAAAUAACUCAUUCUAACAUGUAAAUUCAUAGUUUAAAGCAUAAAAAUAGGUUCUUAGACACCAUAGGUGAAAAGGGCUCAUGGAUGAACAUCUAACAUACCGUAAGGCUUUAAUCUUGCAAGAGAAUUGACGUUCUUGAUCAUUCUUGGGUGGUAAAGCUUGAAUUCUUGAGUUUUCUUGAAGGAAAAAUGGUUGAACUACAUGAAUUUGGGUGAUGGUUAGGGUUUAUGUUAAAGAGGAAUUGUGGAAAUAGCAUAUAUAAUGCCUUAACUGAUGAUAAAUCUCGUGUUUUUAUGGAUUAGGGCCAUGGGAAAAGACCAGACUGCCCCUAGGAAAUUAAAAUUCAUAACUAGAACCCUGAUUGGGCUCUUACCGUGAUGUGCCAAGGCUGCCACUGGUAGUCCACCAUAGCUCACCACAAUCGUUGUAACUUGCUCUUUGAAAAUCCAAAUGUGGUCCAAACCUCAACCAAAAACUACCCGAGACAUGCUACUUACACCCCUGAACAUGAAUCAAAUCAAAAACUUAUGUUUUGGGAUCGACAAGGUCACUUUAAAAAUCAUCGAAGUUAAGAGGCCAAAAAUAAAAAAGUCUCCAACACUUAGCUAAAUUUUUAGAUUCUAAGCCUCUUAUACAUGUACUAUGGGCUAAAUUAAGCUAAGACAAUUACGAAAUAUUAAAAUAUCUCCCCCGUGGGAACAAUUUUCCUCGAAUGAGACUGGUUAAGCUGAGAAAAUACAAAGGUACUGAGUUACUUUUUGAAUAUGCAUAACUAAAAAUAUGAUUGAGUCUGAAACAUAGUGACUGACUGAACUGAUUCAUAAAUGCAUACGAUGACAUAAAGAUGACCACAUGGCUGGGACUAAGAAUAGAAUAGAGAAAAUCUAAAGGAAACUUUUACCUUGAGUUGAGUCUGAGUUUGAAGAGAAAAGGUGAGGAUACUUGGUUUGCAUAUUGCUUUAGCUUCCUAAGUGGCUCCCUCUACGGACUGAUUUUGCCAAAGAACUUUGACCAAAGGAACUUCUUAGUUCCUUAAUCUACGAAUCUGACGAUCAAGGAUUUCAACUGGGAGUUCUUCAUAAGAAAGACUGUUCAGAACAUCUAAUCUCUCUAAAGGAGCAACGACAGAUGUAUCGCCAAUACACUUCUUUAAUAAAGAAAUAUGGAACACUAGGUUUACUAAAGCCAAAUCUGUAGGCAACUCAAGCUGAUAAGAUACCUUUCCAAAAUGGCUCAAGAGCCUGUAAGGGCUAACAUAUCAGGGACUGAGCUUCCCCUUCUUGCCAAACCUCUUCACUCCUUCAUGGGAAAGAUUCUCAAAGAAACUAAGUCACCA